UGUUUUUUGUUAAUUAUUUUUUAGAAAAACUUUAAAUAUCAUUAUUGUGUUUUCGCGUUUUCUCAUUUUAGCACCAUAUCAUUUAAAGUAUACCAUUUAGUAUUAUGUAGUUUCGUUUUUCUCUUUUUGUCAUCACUUCCGUUAACUCUUCGUUAAAUAGUAUAGAAAAAAUUUCAGAUAUUUCACCUAUGAUUUAUCAAAUGAAAAAAAUUAACGGAGGGAAUAAUAAAAAAAGAAAAAUAAAACUAUAGAGUAACUAAAGUGAUACAUUUUAAAUCAUAAAAUAUUAAAAUGAGAAAGCAUGAAACCACAAGGUGGUAUUUAAAUUUUUUUUUUUAUUUUUUAUAGAGAAAGAAUGAUAUAGAAAGUUAUUAUUCCAUUCAUUUUUUGAAAAACAAAUUUAAUAAAAAAUGUGAAGUAACUAGUUAUUGAAUUUGAGAUCUUAAAUAUCAGUCAGACAAUCACCAAAUAUUUUGCCACUAACUAGCUAUGGCNUUUUUUUUUUUUUAUAGGACUAUGAGUUUUUUUUUGAGAGAAAAAUAAUAUGUUACCCGUUUCGUUUAUUUUUUAAAAAAUAAACUUAUUUCUAAAAUUUCUAC
rnacentral:lncRNA from 1 species